GACGAACGCUGGCGGCGUGCUUAACACAUGCAAGUAGGACGCAGUUGCGAACGUGUGAGUAACGCGUAGGUAACUGCCUAUGAGUGGGGGAUGACUAUUGGAAACGAUAGCUAAUACCGCAUACUAGUAGAUUGACCUGCGUUGUAUUAGCUAGUAGGGCGGGUAAUGGCCUACCUAGGCGACGAUACAUAACCGACCGGAGGAGGUGGUCGGCCAACACGGGACUGGAACACGGGCCAUGCUGCUUCUGGAGGCAGCAGUUGGGAAUUGUCGGCAAUGGGGGGAACGCUGACUGCGGAACGCCGGGGGAGUGAAGGAGGGUUUCGGAGCGUAAAGCUCUUUUGUUAGGGAAGCGGUACUUAAACAGAAAGGGACGGCUAACUACGUGCCAGCAGCCGCGGUAAUAC
rnacentral:rRNA from 1 species